rnacentral:rRNA from 1 species
UACGUAGGGGGCAAGCGUUGUCCGGAAUCAUUGGGCGUAAAGAGCGCGUAGGCGGCCCGAUAAGUCCGCUGUGAAAGUCAAGGGCUCAACCCUUGAAUGCCGGUGGAUACUGUCGGGCUAGAGUCCGGAAGAGGCGAGUGGAAUUCCUGGUGUAGCGGUGAAAUGCGCAGAUAUCAGGAGGAACACCAAUGGCGAAGGCAGGUCUCUGGGCUGACACUGACGCUCAUGCACGAAAGCGUGGGGAGCAAACAGG